rnacentral:tRNA from 1 species
GGUGUUGUGGCUCAGUGGUAGAGCGCUAGCCUAGCAUGUAUGAGGCACUGGGUUCAAUCCUCAGCACCA